ACCAAUUCCGGACACAAUCUCAGCACUGUGGGAGACUGAGGCACCUGCCAAACCUGCACAGAUUCCUACAGCAGCCAGUUCGCUCUGUCUCGAGGCUUCAGAGGAACACGAACUUCUCUGAUGGAAGAGCCUUGUUCUAGAAGGGAGUGAAGCCUAGGUCUUUCCUGAGCACACAGAAGAUCAAGACCACACUCACUGACUUCUCAUAGUCAAGCAAUUUUGGCCAAUUAAAUGUCAGUUGGAAACUCCUGUGUCAGCUUCUCUGUGGCGGUGAGAAGUCCCUGUGUGACAUCCCAACUCUCCCCUCACCUGCGUUGGCAACCAAGAAAGCCUUGUGUUGGAGGUGGGGCCACAAGUUUAAAGCUAAGUUACCACCUCGAGGGCACAUUCCUGGAGAGCUUCCCAGGCCCACAGUGGCACGUGUAUGAGUGACAGAUCCACUUCUUUAUUACCUUUUUGAAGAACAGGAACCUUUGUCUGGAAAUUCCACAAGUAUGCCUUUUGCAAGAUUAAAAGUGCCACAAAGAACAAAAAUGAGCCCAGGACCAGAUGCAUGUUAAAAGCCAUCAGACACGUUAAGUUUCAUCUCCAUUGACCUGCAGAAGGAGUCUCUCACCACAGCCACCACAUCUAUGCAUGUGCUGAGUCACAUGUGAAGCCAGCACAUCUCAGAGUCUCACCGAAAGCUCAUGGUGAGACAAAGAGACUAGAAGGGGUAGAGUCAGCUAACUUCUCUCCUCCCACCACUGAUGAGGUUUUGGUGAAUUCUCUUCCCUUGCUCACUUGCAGAUUCAGCAGAGUUGUCUAUAGUGGCUUAAUUGGAAUUGCUGGACAAGAACAUUGAUUCUGCUUCACUCAGGUAAAGAUGAAAGUAACUGCAACAAUGGAUAUUGCAUUUGAAGGUCAUUGAGUUGUAGUCAGGCAAGGGGAGCAGAUAUUAAAACAUACACGCACAAAAUAAUGGGAUUUUUAUUUAGCAUCUCGCAAGUCUUGAGUAACAUAGUAUUAAUUGACCUUGAGAUUUCAUUCUUUUGUGACUCAUUGCAUUUGCUUUUGUGUUUCAGAUUAAUAUAGAAUAUUUUAAAGAAAGAGUAAUACAGCCAAUUUUAAUCUCUGGGAAGUUUAUGCAAGACAUAAUUUAUUUGUAAACUUUAUAAUAAUAUGUGAAUUAAAGACCCUUGUUAGUUUGGUAUGAAUCUGACAUAAGGGCUAAAAUCACUUUUUCAUUAGCCUUCUCCUGAUCUCAGGUUUACACCUAAGAGAUUCUUCACUCCAAAGUCUUCAUUUCCAAGCACAACCUGCUGGGUGCUGCGCUUUUCUGAGGUCUCCUCCCCAGCUCUGCAUCUAGCAGUGCUCAUGAUGCAAUGAUUUCCUGUCUGACUAUCCCAUUCCUAUCCUUUGCAAAGUUCACAUAGACCCAUUUGAGUACACUUUUAGUAGCAUACCAAGUUUAAGUGCCAAAGUUGUGUUUUAGUUCUUUCAUCCAGAAAGAAAACAUCAGCUGUUUCAAAUUUUAGAGUCCAGCUUGGGCAACAAGAGAAUUGUCAUGUCGUCGAUUGUGUAGUAAGACACAGUGAGUGUCCAGCAAUGUAAAAUCAGUCUAUAAAUGAGAAGAUUAAGACCAAAAGCAUCGGGUUACAAACAUCUCACUAAAGCCCAUUAGCAGGCAGAGAGCUCUCCGCGGAGCUAGAAAAUGAGACUUUUCCCUCCUUUCUGCCCCAUACAUUAGUGCUGAUCUCAGGAGCUCAUUUUUGCACCCUUUGUGGCAGACAACCAUAUAAUCAAAGGGUUCCCAUCACUAAAUCAUUUGAAAAGACAAGUAGAAAUUAGCUUUAGCUAAUUUAACUAGCCUUUGCCCCUCCUCCUGACCCUGAGGGUGAAGCACAUUUUAUCAUUCAUCCUCUGGGGGCUGGCUUAUGCUGGCUCCCUUUCCUUUGGCAGUGAUUUUAAGCAACCAAGUUCUUAUUACAAUUCUCAAAUUUAAAAUUAAGUUCUGAUCACAUCUUCUCAGGGCAUACCUAAGAGGCAGUGUUUAUCCCCAGCCAAAUCAAUUGUUUCCUCAAGUGACUCAUUCCUGAAAAUGUUAUUGUUUCUAAUAACCAGCUCAAAUAUGUAUUUUCAUUAAUCUUUUCUUUUACCUCCAUUUCACACGUGUUGCUGCAUGUCAGGCAGUUUCCACAAGGAUCUGCCAUGACAUCAUUGUGUGAGGUAUGAAAAAAAAAUUUUUUUUUUUCUAAUUUAAGAAUUACUUUUACUCAGAUGGUGGCUGGGCUGGGAAAUGUUCCCCAUUGCCCUGGGAGUUUUAGGCCAAGGCUUGUGUGUGUGUGUGUGUGUGUGUGUGUGUUGGAAGGGUCUCUCAUUGCCUAUUUCUGCUUAUAUAACACACACUGGUUUAGGUAGGUGGAGUCAGAAUGGGAAGAGGAAGUUCCCUAAGUGUUUCUUGCAUGCAAAGGUAAGUGGAGAAUGCCCAUCUGGGCACACAGGGCAAGGAUGCAGUGGAGUGACCUCUCCUUUCCCCUCCAACUCACAUGCUGGAGUUUAAAAACUGUAUCAGGAUGACAGAAACCAAGGGGUAAGACCACGGCUUCCUCUGGGGAUCUUCUAUAAACUGUAAGAACAAACACAGGUAUUUUGUAGUUCUUUAUCACAACGGGUCCUUUGCUGAUGAUUCUAGGUUUUAUGACUGCUGUUUUAUGUCCUACAAAUAGUAACAGGCAUUUCCCUUUGCCCUACACCACAGUAAGCCACUGGCCUAGACAAGAAGCAACUCUGCACUGCUUUUCAAACAUCAUCCUCCCUCUCGACCGCAGGGACUAUUUGGUUUCUAUUCUACUUCUGGCCUUUCAUAUUCCUGAUGGUGCAUUGGAUGAAACCCCGCAGCCAGGCGUGUGAACGUGGUUGAAAAGACCCAUGGAGGACCAGCAACGCUUCCCCACAGCGUGGGAUGGUCCCCUCCUGAGAUGGCCCACUGUCAGCGGGACUGACGCCAAGCACUGCAUCCUGUCUGCUUCUUGAACAGCCCCUUCAUUGUUUGUUCAGCUAUUCUGCUGCAUCUGCAGAUAGCCCUGCCUGAGAAACAGCCUCAAACCAGAAGGAGAGGAUGGCGGCAAGCCUUAGAGAAACAUAUGACCGUAAAGAAAAUUUGGGAAUGUGUAUUUCAGGGAAAAUGAAAAUGAUCCCAAUAAAGAUCGGAGAUGCAGGAAGGAAGGAAAACAUAGAAAUUGAGCCAGUUGGAGUGUGAGGCUUCAGAAUCGCCUUCCAACUCUCUGUGCACUGCACCAGCUGCUUCCCAUAGACUCCUGGUAAAAUAUAGAGCGGAAGGAAGAAGAGCCACUACCCAUAACAUCAGUGGCUGCUAACUAAGGAGUGUUUUGACAUGCUGGUACAGCCUAUCCUCAGCUUUCCAGAAGGUGGAAUCUUGUGAUAGUGGAAAGAAGUAGAAGAGAUGAAGUACCUAUGACUCCAGGAUUUGCCAGUGAAAGAAGUCAACAAUAUUUUAACUUUGAUCUUAACCAAAAGGCCAAGAAGUGAUGCUAAUAUUUUCAUAUACUACGACAGUUGCAGACACACGUCUAUCAUAGCUGGGUAGUAAUCCAGGCAACUCUGCCACAAGUCAUGGGCUCAGCCACCAGUCCACGAAGUCUCCAGUCACACAUAUUGCUUCGGACUAUUCUCUAUCCCCAGUUGUCAAUUAACUAAAAUAUUAAAUGAGGAUGCCAUGGAGUCCCCCAACUGAUUUCAUAAAUUUGGUGUCACAUUGUAAAUCAAGCAGCUGCAGAGUGGCUGGGACAUCUGUUUGGUUCUGUUAUUCUCUUUACUCCAAAAGGAAACUAACUCCAAAAGAAGAAAACCUGAUGUCUGAGCUGAAUCCUAAUCAUGAAGAUGUUUUUCCACCAUUCCUGUCUGUGUUUUUCUACCAUUCCUGUCUGUGUUUUUCUACCAAAGUGUGCUCUUGAAGUUCUGCAUUUCCCAGGGUGUGGUGAAAGAAGAGAAAAAAAUGUCCAAGAUGACUUCAACGUUCUGACCUUGAGUGGCUUGAGUGAAUGGAGUUACAACUGUGCAGAAAGAUUCAGUAGAGAGUUUUGGAUUUAUGCACCAGUAAGGGGAAAACUGAACAGCUGCAGAGAGCUGUAACUUUUAUAGGAGAUUAAUCUAUAAGAGAAGACAGCAAACUACAGCCUGUGUGUCAAAUCCUACUUGCCACGUCCACUGAAAGCUAACUACACUGGAACACUCUCAUUUCUGCAAAGAAAAAUAUCAUAUCCCAGGAUGAAAAGGAGGAGGAAGAGGAAAGGCUAACUUAACAAGAAGCUCUUUGACAUUCUUGAAUUAGACACCCAACGUAGUCCACGCAGUACGGAGGAUGACUUCAGAAGUGCAAUUCUGAUAUGGACUUUGUCUCCCUAAGGCUUUCAGUUCCUCAUAUUUAGGAUAAAACAGAAGUUUAUGUAAAGCCAAGGGAGAGGGUCACCGGGAGAGGGAAGGAGGAACAGCAGAAGGAGAGGUCCACACAUGAAAAUACUUGGAAGCGCCCCAGGGCCUAUCAGAUGCAGGUCUUGGCGGAAAUUACCAAACAUACUUUAGACAGGCUGCUGUGUUGCUGAGUGUGGACUGGCCUCAGGGCCUGCUGAUCAAAGCAAAAGGAAGCAGUGAAAAAAACAUCACCAUGUCUUCUUAGAGUCUAAUCUGGGGGCAAGAGGCCAGCAUGCACAGUUGGUGCUGAUUUUCUUGGGCGGAUAGAGGAAAGGUGUAGGCGUGGCCAACAUUUGAGCAGCAUGUGGUUCCUCUCACACGCCAUGCUGUUUCCGGCCUCCUUGCAUUUUACUCAUGCCAUCCUCCUGGUCACUUCUUUGAGAUAUUAAGUGCAUUCUUUAGGACUCAGACUCAGCUCAAGGGUCAGUGCAUCCAUGAAGCCUUACCUGGAUCCCAGAGGGAGCUCUGUGCUCCUCCUUUGUCUCCUAUAGGACCCAGUACAUGCGUCCAGUAUUAUCCAUACACACUGAAAUGAUCUAGCAUGUGUCUUCCCAUAGGAUUUCAAAUUCUUAGAAUAUAGGAGUGAUGCCUUCUUCCUACUUAUAUUUCCAGUGUUAACAGUGCCUGUCAAUUGACUUGAAGAUAACUAAAAGUCUGGUUGUUAAGGGCUGCUUCCCACCUCCAAAUACUUCCCUGGAAGUCAUUGUAUGGGCACUGACAUUGGUAGGUCUCCACUGGCUUGUAGAUGCUUCUGAUUAUAAGGUAGUCUCAGAUGCCUUCAGAAAGUUCUAAGACUGUAUAAAACAUUUCCUUCACAACCAAUAACUGUGUAUUAUUGUUCGUGUAAUUCCAGAAGUUAUCCUUUUGAUAGAGAGCAAUUACUUUAUUGAUUGAGAGUUAGCUAAUUAUGUAAUAAAGGUAAAGAUUUGCAUAGAGAA
rnacentral:lncRNA from 1 species